AGCUUCGACUAAGGUUCGACUCGAGCGCCAGCGAGAGAACGUUGCCGCAGGCAACGGCCCGAAGGGCGAGGCGCUUUAGCGCCGAGUAAUCCUUCCCCCACCACCA
rnacentral:sRNA from 1 species